rnacentral:rRNA from 1 species
CCUACGGGAGGCAGCAGUGGGGAAUAUUGCACAAUGGGGGAAACCCUGAUGCAGCGACGCCGCGUGAAGGAAGAAGUAUCUCGGUAUGUAAACUUCUAUCGGCAGGGAAGAUAAUGACGGUACCUGACUAAGAAGCCCCGGCUAACUACGUGCCAGCAGCCGCGGUAAU